rnacentral:rRNA from 30 species
GCGACCCCAGGUCAAGCGGGGCUACCCGCUGAGUUUAA